rnacentral:misc_RNA from 1 species
GAUGAAGAACGCAGCGAAAUGCGAUAAGUAGUGUGAAUUGCAGAAUUCAGUGAAUCAUCGAAUCUUUGAACGCACAUUGCGCCCUUUGGUAUUCCUUAGGGCAUGCCUGUUCGAGCGUCAUUUAAACCUUCAAGCUAAGCUUGGUGUUGGGUGACUGUCCGCUUCACGGCGGACUCGCCUCAAAAUUAUUGGCGGCCGGUACAUUGGCUUCGAGCGCAGCAGAAACGCGAACUCGGGCCCGUCGUAUUGGCUCCCAGAAGCUAUCUUCACAAUUUUGACCUCGGAUCAGGUCGGGAUACCCGCUGAACUUAAGCAUAUCAAUAAGCGGAGGA